rnacentral:rRNA from 1 species
AGUCCUCAUGGCCUUUAUGUCCAGGGCUACACACGUGCUACAAUGGUCGGUACAAACCGUCGCAAAGCUGCAAAGUGGAGCUAAUCGGAAAAAGCCGGCCUCAGUUCGGAUUGGAGUCUGCAACUCGACUCCAUGAAGCUGGAAUCGCUAGUAAUCGCAGAUCAGAACGCUGCGGUGAAUACGUUCCCGGGCCUUGUACACACCGCCCGUCACAUCACGAAAGUGGACUGCACUAGAAGCCGGUGAGCCAACCGCAAGGGGGCAGCCGUCCAAGGUAUGGUUCAUGAUUGGGGUGAAGUCGUAACAAGGUAGCCGUAGGAGAACCUGCGGCUGGAUCACCUCCUUUCUAAG